rfam:Schistosoma rodhaini strain Burundi genome assembly, scaffold: SROB_scaffold0004445
AUCCAGCUGACGAUUCCCAAAUACGACGAAACGCGCGUCCUGGAU